GCCAGACUCCUACGGGAGGCAGCAGUGGGGAAUAUUGCACAAUGGGGGAAACCCUGAUGCAGCAACGCCGCGUGAGUGAGGAAGUAUUUCGGUAUGUAAAGCUCUAUCAGCAGGGAAUAGAAAAGAAGGUACCUGAAAAAGAAGCCCCGGCUAACUACGUGCCAGCAGCCGCGGUAAUACGUAGGGGGCAAGCGUUAUCCGGAUUCACUGGGUGUAAAGGGAGCGUAGACGGCGACGCAAGUCUGGAGUGAAAGCCCGGGGCCCAACCCCGGGACUGCAUUUGAAACUGUCAGGCUGGAGUGCAGGAGAGGUAAGUGGAAUUCCUAGUGUAGCGGUGAAAUGCGUAGAUAUUAGGAGGAACACCAGUGGCGAAGGCGGCUUACUGGACGACAACUGACGCUGAGGCUCGAAAGCGUGGGGAGCAAACAGGAUUAGAUACCCCUGUAA
rnacentral:rRNA from 1 species